UACGUAGGGGGCUAGCGUUGUCCGGAAUCAUUGGGCGUAAAGAGCGUGUAGGCGGUCCGGUAAGUCCGUUGUGAAAGUCAAGGGCUCAACCCUUGAAUGCCGGCGGAUACUGUCGGGCUAGAGUCCGGAAGAGGCAAGUGGAAUUCCCGGUGUAGCGGUGAAAUGCGCAGAUAUCGGGAGGAACACCUGUGGCGAAGGCGGCCCCCUGGUUGGAUACUGACGCUGAGACGCGAAAGCGUGGGGAGCAAACAGG
rnacentral:rRNA from 1 species